AGUGAACGCUGCGGCGUGCUUAACACAUGCAAGUCGAACGAGAACGGAUUAUAGCUUGCUAUAAUUGUCAGCUAAGUGGCGCACGGGUGAGUAAUGUAUAGGUAAUAUGCCUCUUACUAAGGGAUAACAAAUGGAAACGUUUGCUAAUACCUUAUACUCCUUAUUAACAUAAGUUAAUAAGGGAAAGAUUUAUUGGUAAGAGAUUAGCCUGUAUUGUAUCAGUUAGUUGGUGGGGUAAUGGCUUACCAAGACUAUGACACAUGACUGGUUUGAGAGGAUGAUCAGUCACACUGGAACUGAGACACGGUCCAGACUCCUACGGGAGGCAGCAGUGGGGAAUAUUGCACAAUGGACGAAAGUCUGAUGCAGCAACGCCGCGUGGAGGAUGACACAUUUCGGUGCGUAAACUCCUUUUAUAUGAGAAGAUAAUGACGGUAUUAUAUGAAUAAGCACCGGCUAACUCCGUGCCAGCCGCCGCCGUAA
rnacentral:rRNA from 1 species